rnacentral:rRNA from 1 species
AAUGGGCGCAAGCCUGAUCCAGCAAUGCCGCGUGGGUGAAGACGGCCUGCGGGUUGUAAAGCCCUUUAGGCGGGGAGGAACGGCGUCGUGCGAACAGUGCGGCGUUCUGACGUUACCCGCGGAAUAAGCACCGGCUAACUCCGUGCCAGCAGCCGCGGUAAUACGGAGGGUGCGAGCGUUAAUCGGAAUUACUGGGCGUAAAGCGUGCGUAGGCGGUUUGGUCAGUCAGCCGUGAAAGCCCCGGGCUUAACCUGGGAAUGGCGGUUGAGACGGCUGGACUUGAGUGGGCUAGAGGAUCGUGGAAUUCCGGGUGUAGCGGUGAAAUGCGUAGAGAUCCGGAGGAACACCGAUGGCGAAGGCAGCGGUCUGGGGCCACACUGACGCUGAGGCACGACAGCGUGGGGAGCAAA